CCCGGACACGGCGGCCAGGACCCCGGCGCCCGGCACCUCUCCUAGAGAAGUUUGCCUCCGAGCUUCUGCCGAGGCGUCCAGCCCCUUAAACAUGGCCGGCCGGCCGAGGCGGGACUCCCCCGGGCGUGCCCCACAAUGCGGGAGGAGUGUUCAAAGGGCCGGGUAAACAGGCGGCGCGUCCCGGACAAUGGGCGGCCGGGUCUCCAGGCGGGGAGGGCCCGGUGGAAUCCGCGUCGGGCUGCCGACGAGGCGCCGCGCUCGGCCCGGACGCGCUUUGUGCUCCGGUUAAUGAGCUGGAAACUGCCGUCGCGCUUCCCGGCUGUGAAAAUCGCUUCAGGAGCAGCGGAGUCACUUAGCUGCUGCGAGGCCGCGGAACUGAUUUCCUUUGUUGUCCGAGGGCCCAGCGCUUCCCCGUGGGCCAGGGGCUGGGCCUCCUCCCAGAAAGACCCCAAGCAGCCCGGCUUCCGAGGGACUGCGAACACAGCCAGGAGCUCCGCGAAUGAGAAGGCUUUCCAAACAAAGAGAACAGCAGACGCCUUUCCCCUGCCUCCCCAUUUUCCAGAGCCGCCCCUGCCCCAACUUCUGGCCGGAGUAACAUGUCCCUCCCUGUCUGGAGGCUUGUGGCCCGGUCCUGGGAGGACGGCACCUGGCCCUGGACAGACUCCCAGCACUGCGCCUGCUCUGGCCCCUGGGUCUGGACACUGCGGGAGGCCCCAGGUGGCCUGGCCCUUUCCAAGGGGAUCAGUUGGGCCAGCCCCAUGGAGAGGCCAGGAGAACAUGGUCAUGCAGCCCUGCCUCUCGCCCGGCCAAGCGCCACGUUCACUGCAACAGACUCCCCAGCCCACAGGGCGUGUUGUUCUGGAUGGACCUCGGGGGAAGUUUCCUAACCACUUCCGAGAUUCGGGGUGGUGAAUGUUGAAUGGGUUUCUGAGUGGUGCAGAAGGUGCCUGACACCUCUGUGAUGGCUGCCUCCCAUCUUUCAGGCUGACCCAGGGUUUGGCUUUAGAUGUUUAUGAGUUUCGAGGGCUGGUUUCUGUGGAUGACUUGAAAGAACAUGUUCUGGAAGAAGUCUGUCCAUGUGAUGUGGACAGGGCAGGGGGCUUCAGAAUUCUCGGUGGGCUUGCUGGUGGUCUGUGGACCAGCCAGGCUGAGCCCUGGCGUGGUGGGCUGUGCUCGGGGGAUGGUCCCCAGGGCCUUCACCUCUCUCUGCUGCAGAGAGGCUGGACGCCAGACCAUGCCACAGAGGGGCCACCAAAAGCAGUUGACUCAGGUCUUCACGUAGAGUCCAGAGGGCCAGUUGGUCAUUUUCUUCUUGAGCCUGGAAUUUGGAGCUGAGACCCUGAUUCCAGAGCCUCGUUCCUGUGAUUUCCAGAAGCUCAGAGAAGCUAAAGGUUUUCCAUGUCCCUCUGCCUCCACCCGAGGGGAAGAUCUCUUUUUCCUCAGUAAUCAGCAACAUGAGACUGCUGGAAAGCAGCCGGAAGCCUGAGCUGGGGGAUGUGCUGGGAGGCCCUGCAGAACUGCCCUCCGCCCAGCUGCCCAGGCUCCAGGCCGGAUGCCAAGCGCCUCGCAGCACCUGGGACAGGCGCAAGGUUCUAGCUGCUGAGGCCUGUGGGCAUGAGUCAAAUUGGACGGGGUGCCCACAUCUCAGACCCCCACCCACCUACCCUGAGCCCCACUCUCCUGCAUCACCCAGCACUGUGCUGCCUCUGGUCACCGUCACCUCCUGGAGCACAGAGCUGAUCCAGGCAGAGGCCAGGCGCUGGUUACAGAUGGGACUCAGAGCGGGUAGGAAGGGGAUGAGGGGAGGUGCAUGUGGCCUCUGGACUGCGGUUGCAUACUUGGUUCUAGUCCUGGCUCUGCUGAGGGGCUAUGCCACCUGACCUGGCAUCUUAACCUCUCUGGGCCUCAGUGUCCUGUUUGGUCUCCCCCACGUAAGCCGAAGCAGACUUACAAAGAAUUCCAUUUGGUCAUGAAGGUCCCUGUCCACUUCCCUCCCUUCUGCUCAACCAGGCCCAGAGGCACUGUGGGAAGGCGGGCAGCCAGCGACAGACAGCAGCAAGUGGCCAGAGGGAGAAGACACAGG
rnacentral:lncRNA from 1 species